CCUUGUAUGACAAUUUAAACCAGCAAGAAAAAUGUUGCACCCAGGGCAUUUGUUUUCUUAGAAGCUGCACCAGGGAAUUUGUUUUCCUUGUUUUUUUGGACAAGUCAAUCUCUAUUUCUAACAAAUUACAGGUACAUAUCUUGAGCAUGAUUCACAAGUUAUAUAUGCUUGGUAUAACCAUAAUGUUAAUCACAAAACGUGUUUGAUUAUACUAGAUAACCACAUGGCACUCUUCAAGUUCACAGACGCGUCCUGAAUUUAGUUUUGGCUCAUCUUCUCCAUCAGAAUCUUCAAGAGAAGCAAACAGGCAAUCACACAGGUGUUAUUGUCACUGGAAUGAGCAACAAGGUUCCAAGGUGUCAUUCCUUUCGUAAAUUUCUAGCAAGAAAGGCUCUUUUGGAUCAGCAAAAAAAUGAGUGUGGGGCACCAGAUCCUCCCUGCUAUUGUCUCACUCUCUUCUCCUCCAUGAUUGGGAUUCCCAUGUGAUUGUGCUCCUCCUCUAAACACUCAGACACUCAAAGAAAGAGAGAGAAAGAUAUAGACAGAGAUGUGCGGUCUUGUUUGGGCUAAUCCUCCUUCAUGGUCCUUAAGGACCUUAACCUAUAGGGGUACGUAGUACCAGUACCACUCCCACCUGUGAAUAUUGGAUGUGAUAAAUGUUGUGUUGUUUUUGAGUUUACUCAUACAAGCUUUUUAGCUUACCGGGUUUGUUGUUUACAACCCGGCGCACCUAUUUCUUGGUGUAGGGGUUAGACCUGCAGGUGAGGAUCAACAGGGUUGAGAUGGAGGCGUAGUGGCUAGGUUUUUUGUUGUUGUUGGGUUUUGAGUGUGUCUUUGUAUAUUCUUUUUAUAUACAUUGGGAUAGGAAUUAUUAAACUCAUGUGAGCAUUCCCUUUCUUGUUCUCAAGUUAUGUAAACAAGGAAAUGUAAUAUUUAACUCAAUUUGGAGUUGUAUGUAAAUUUACAUUUCGCAUUGAGUUUAUUUUCCUUGAUUUUUGUUGAAACAGGUUUUGGGAUAUUAAUAUUUUAGGAUAUAUCAUGCCAAAAUUUUUGAAAUUUAUCUUUCGAAAAUUGGGGCGUGAC
rnacentral:lncRNA from 1 species